UGGGCUUUCUGUGCUGAUGGG
rnacentral:miRNA from 1 species